UUGACCUCGGAUCAGGUAGGAAUACCCGCUGAACUUAAGCAUAUCAAUAAGCGGA
rnacentral:rRNA from 14 species